AACGACUUUCCACCAUCAAGGAAGUAGGAAGUGCGCGUCGGAACAAGUAAAUUUUAAUAGUGCCAGAGUGCAUCGAGAGCAAAUAGAGAAGAUAGAAAAAGAUUGUUAUAAGAAAUAAAAGAAAUUAUAAGAGAAAAGAUAAGAGCUAAAAAGAAGAAGAGAAGCGGAAGAGAAAAAAAAGCGGGCCUUUUUUUUAUAUUUCAUCUUUUUCUCCGCCGAGACGUGUGGUACCCGCCAUUGAAAUAAGGGACGUUCGACUGCAAUUUCCGCCAUUGAUAGUCGACGUCGAGUAAGGAUACCGGAACCAGAAGAGCCAUAUUCACGCUUGGAGGUUACAGCGGGGAUUUUAUCCGGUUAAACGAUGGAGAAAGAAGAGAAAAACUACACGAAAAGUACUGCAAGUAUAAAAGCAUAAAAUUUAGUGACGUCACAAUUAGGACAGAGGAAGAAGUG